UCCAAUGUGGUGUAGUGGCCAACAUUGCUGUCUUUCAUUAGAUUGCACAGCAGCCCGGGGUUCGAUUCCCCGCAUUGGAA